AAAAUUUUGGAAAAAUUAAGAAGCUAGUAAUCCAGGCCACAAAUAUUCUAAUAAAGGUUAUUGGUUUUAAUGAUUUUUAUCGUCCUAUGGCAUGGUUUAAACAAUUUUAGAAGAAUUAAGAAGCUGGAUAUCCAAGCCGCUAAUAUUCUAAUAAUUUUGAGUCGACGAAAAAUGUGAAUGGUUGGAUUACGAAUUGAUCCAAACACUAUAUCAGGGUGAUACAG